rnacentral:misc_RNA from 1 species
AAGUCGUAACAAGGUUUCCGUAGGUGAACCUGCGGAAGGAUCAUUACCGAGUUCUCGGGCUUCGGCUCGAAUCUCCCACCCUUUGUGAACAUACCUCUGUUGCUUUGGCGGCUACUCGCCGCGAGGCCGGGCCCUCAAAAAGCCCGCCGCCCCGCGCGCGCUCUUCCGCCAGAGGACCUUCAAACUCCAGUCAGUAAACGUCGACGUCUGAUAAACAAGUUAAUAAACUAAAACUUUCAACAACGGAUCUCUUGGUUCUG